CGUGCUCGACGCCGAAUUGCAUGAGCUUCUCCCAGAUUUCAAUACCAGUAGCAGUUCACUUCCAAAUACAUCUCUCAUUGAAAUAAUGCAGGUGGAAGUUUUUCUUGCUGGUUCCUGCAGAAAGAGAAAACCUUGUAUGCUUAAUGGAGGAUAUCAGAUAGCAAAUGCGUGCCAGAUUAUGCAUGGUAACUGAUCUUUACUCAGCUCAGGAGUGAUGAUUCUCUUGGCUCUGUAUCUUAUUGGGCCUUUUCCGUGUCCAGGGAUGAACUAUGAGAGCCUUAUUAGGUGCGAGGUAAAGGCCUGUAUAUACCUACAUAUACCAUAAUCUUGCAAAAAUAAACUUUACAUAUAUAUUUGACAAGGUUUCAUAAAAGCCCCAAUAUCGCCCUUUGGUUUUCUAGGGCCUCACAUGGUUCUUCAGUUUUCUUGGGUUUUAGUCUUAUGCUCCGUGCCUGACCAAGAAAUGGGAAUGGAAACAUAGAACAGGACAGUAGGUAUUUUGGGACUCCAAUCGAUGUAAUAGAGAGGACCCCAAAGCUUGUAAUUUAUUUAGUGUUUUACCAAAUAACUUGGUGAGAAUGAGACAAUGUUUAAUGAAAUUUGGGUGCUUCAGUAUGUAGAAUCA